CGGUCACUGUCACACCUUAAGGUGUCAAAAUUAAAUUACACCAAGGUGUGUUAGUGAUGACA
rnacentral:pre_miRNA from 1 species